CUAAAUUCUACAAUAUGUUGCUUUCCUGAAUGGGUUAAUUGACAGGCCCUACAUCUGCCACAUCCAAAAAAGUCUGAAAAUUUAGUUAAAAAAUUAUUAUUAGUUCCCAGAGGAGUCAGGAGCAGCCCAUAGGAUCAUGGACAGUGAUUUAUGUGAGCUGACAUGACCAAAGUACGCAGAAAAUGCUAGAUCCAAAUUACUGUGAUUUGCCUGCAUGUUUGUUUGUGUAUAUACCUUUGUUGAGUUUAUCUG